rnacentral:rRNA from 1 species
AGCGAACGCUGGCGGCAGGCCUAACACAUGCAAGUCGAACGAUCCUUCGGGAUAGUGGCGGACGGGUGAGUAACACGUGGGAACGUGCCCUUUGGUUCGGAAUAACUCAGGGAAACUUGAGCUAAUACCGGAUGAGCCCCUCGGGGGAAAGAUUUAUCGCCAUUGGAGCGGCCCGCGUUGGAUUAGCUAGUUGGUGGGGUAAAGGCCCACCAAGGCUACGAUCCAUAGCUGGUCUGAGAGGAUGAUCAGCCACACUGGGACUGAGACACGGCCCAGACUCCUACGGGAGGCAGCAGUGGGGAAUCUUGCGCAAUGGGCGAAAGCCUGACGCAGCCAUGCCGCGUGAAUGAUGAAGGUCUUAGGAUUGUAAAAUUCUUUCACCGGGGACGAUAAUGACGGUACCCGGAGAAGAAGCCCCGGCUAACUUCGUGCCAGCCGCCGCCGUAAGAC